CCCACUUAUUUAACACCUUCUUAUCCGCCUGGCCCCUGUCUGCUCGGUUUUGGGUUGGGGUGACCGCGGAGCAUAAAAUAGCCUCCACGAAAGAAGGGAUGAUUCCCUCAUUUUAGAACUACACUUCCAAAGACUAACAAAUUAAUUUUAAGUGAUCCGAUACCCGUAUUCGAUCAACGAACCAAGUUACCCUGGGGAUAACAGCGCAAUCUACCUCAAGAGCCCCUAUCGACAGGUGGGUUUACGACCUCGAUGUUGGAUCAGGGUAUCCCAGUGGUGCAGCAGCUACCAAAGGUUCGUUUGUUCAACGAUUAAAACCCU
rnacentral:rRNA from 1 species